GUGGGGAAUAUUGCACAAUGGGCGAAAGCCUGAUGCAGCAACGCCGCGUGAGGGACGACGGCCUUCGGGUUGUAAACCUCUUUUAGUAGGGAAGAAGCGAAAGUGACGGUACCUGCAGAAAAAGCACCGGCUAACUACGUGCCAGCAGCCGCGGUAAUACGUAGGGUGCAAGCGUUAUCCGGAAUUAUUGGGCGUAAAGAGCUCGUAGGCGGUCUGUCGCGUCUGCUGUGAAAACUGGAGGCUCAACCUCGAGCCUGCAGUGGGUGCGGGCAGACUAGAGUGCGGUAGGGGAGAUUGGAAUUCCUGGUGUAGCGGUGGAAUGCGCAGAUAUCAGGAGGAACACCGAUGGCGAAGGCAGAUCUCUGGGCCGUAACUGACGCUGAGGAGCGAAAGCGUGGGGAGCGAACAGGAUUAGAAACCCCAGUAGUCC
rnacentral:rRNA from 1 species